rnacentral:rRNA from 1 species
AAGUCGACGCACAGCGAAAGGUGCUUGCACCUUUCAAGUGAGUGGCGAACGGGUGAGUAACACGUGGACAACCUGCCUCAAGGCUGGGGAUAACAUUUGGAAACAGAUGCUAAUACCGAAUAAAACUUAGUGUCGCAUGACACAAAGUUAAAAGGCGCUUCGGCGUCACCUAGAGAUGGAUCCGCGGUGCAUUAGUUAGUUGGUGGGGUAAAGGCCUACCAAGACAAUGAUGCAUAGCCGAGUUGAGAGACUGAUCGGCCACAUUGGGACUGAGACACGGCCCAAACUCCUACGGGAGGCUGCAGUAGGGAAUCUUCCACAAUGGGCGAAAGCCUGAUGGAGCAACGCCGCGUGUGUGAUGAAGGCUUUCGGGUCGUAAAGCACUGUUGUAUGGGAAGAACAGCUAGAAUAGGAAAUGAUUUUAGUUUGACGGUACCAUACCAGAAAGGGACGGCUAAAUACGUGCCAGCAGCCGCGGUAAUACGUAUGUCCCGAGCGUUAUCCGGAUUUAUUGGGCGUAAAGCGAGCGCAGACGGUUUAUUAAGUCUGAUGUGAAAGCCCGGAGCUCAACUCCGGAAUGGCAUUGGAAACUGGUUAACUUGAGUGCAGUAGAGGUAAGUGGAACUCCAUGUGUAGCGGUGGAAUGCGUAGAUAUAUGGAAGAACACCAGUGGCGAAGGCGGCUUACUGGACUGCAACUGACGUUGAGGCUCGAAAGUGUGGGUAGCAAACAGGAUUAGAUACCCUGGUAGUCCACACCGUAAACGAUGAACACUAGGUGUUAGGAGGUUUCCGCCUCUUAGUGCCGAAGCUAACGCAUUAAGUGUUCCGCCUGGGGAGUACGACCGCAAGGUUGAAACUCAAAGGAAUUUGACGGGGACCC